rnacentral:rRNA from 1 species
UUAUCAAAAACAUGUCUUUUUGAAUUUAAUAUAAAGUCUAAUCUGCCCACUGAUAUAAUUUAUAUUAAAGGGCUGCAGUAUUUUGACUGUACAAAGGUAGCAUAAUCAUUAGUCAUUUAAUUGAUGACUUGUAUGAAAGAUUGGAUGAAAUAUAUACUGUCUCUUAAUUAAUUAUAGAAUUUAAUUUUUUAAUUAAAAAGUUAAAAUAACUUAAAAAGACGAGAAGACCCUAUAGAGUUUAAUAUUUUAAUUAAUUAAGAUUAUUUAUAAAUUUAUUAAUUAAAAUUAAUUUAAUUAUUUUGUUGGGGUGACAAAAAAAUAUAAUUAACUUUUUUUAUUAAUUUACAUAUAUAAGUGAAUUGAUGAUCCAGUAUUAUUGAUUAUAAGAAAAAAUUACCUUAGGGAUAACAGCGUAAUUUUUUUUUUUAGUUCAAAUAAAAAAGAAAGUUUGCGACCUCGAUGUUGGAUUAAGAUAAAAUUUAAAUGCAGAAGUUUAAAAUUUUUGAUCUGUUCGAUCAUUAAAAUCUUACAUGAUCUGAGUUCA